AGCAAUGAGAGAAACCCCUGCUGGACAGGCUGGGAGAUUUGGGGUAACUGGAGCACAGAAAGCAAAGCUGAUGGCGUGGAAGCUGAUCUGGAACAGGCAGCAAGAGGACACAGUGAGACUGAAGCGCUGAGAAAGCCCGCAUGUCCCCUGUGGUGCGGAAGUUGAUGACAAUGUCCACGAUGAACAUGAUGUCCACGAUGAGGUCCACCACGACUGUCCUUCCUCCCCCGUGACUCACAGCCCACCAGUAACUGUGUCUGGGUGACCAGAAGAGGGACCCCUUCCCACCUCGCUGGACUCAAGGGGAGAGGAGAUAUUGACCCGAGGAGGGAAGAAAUCGCCACUAAGAUGCCUCUCAGGAAGAAUUCAGAGACUUGGGUUCCAGUCCCAGGCUGGAUGCCAGAAGCAGGACCUUGGCUGAACCCCUGCUCUUCCUUGAGCCUUGGUGUCCUCAUCCAUGAAGUGAAGGGAUUUAUCUAAGCCAGUGGUUCCUGAACUGGCAGAACACCAGAGCCACCAGAGAAAUUUUUCCAAAUACACCUG